CUUGUCUCGCAUCUCUCUCUCUCUCUCUGUCUCUCUCUUUAAAUCUCCAGUCUUCUCCCCUUAAGAUUGACUGCACAUCUUCUCCCUCAUUUCUCACUCUCUCUUUAGUUGCGGCAAAGGUUUCCAGAUCUCUUUCAUCUUCUCACCUUAAGAAAAGGUAAAAGGGGGAAAAAGAGAGCUCGUUCUGGAUGUAGAUCUUGCAUCGAUGGACCAAUCUGUGGGAAAAAGGUAGGGUUUUCUCGGUUGCUUCUAUAUCUCUGCGCGUUAGGGUUUUCUUUCAAUUAGCUGAGGAAAUGGCGACUGCGAACCCUUUCGAUCUGUUGGGAGAUGACGAUAAUGACGAUCUGUCGCAGCUGAUAGCUACUCAGCAGCAACAGAAAGCAGCACCGAAGAAAGCCCUAGCUCCAACGCAAGCUGCUUCUCAGAAUUUUCUGGAUUUUCUGGAGGCGAUGUGAUGAAUAAUGUGGUAGCUCCUUCCAUUGAAGAUCCAGCAAUUAUCUCGUUAAAACAGGCAGUAGAAGGUCUUGACAACCUUGACCAGUCUGCAGAAAUCUUGAUCCGUUUUCUCUGUGCUGUUCCUGGAUGGGGUGAGAAAAAUGUUUAGGUUCAACAACAGGUUAUAGAGAUCAUUACUCAUAUAGCUUCUACAGUCCAAAAGUUCCCAAAAAGAUGUGUGGUGCUCUGCAUUCUGGGUGGGUAUUAGGUUAUAGUUGUAAAUUUUUUUUUUUUUUUUUUUUUUUUUUCAUUCUAUAAAAGUUUUAAUCGUGUUAGAUAUGUUUGAUAUGACUGUUAUUCUCUGCAAGUUAACUAAUGUCACCAGCUAUGCCUUCUGGAAAAACUGAAAGAAGUUAAAAUU